rnacentral:rRNA from 1 species
UACGGAGGGGGCCAGCGUUGUUCGGAAUCAUUGGGCGUAAAGGGCGCGUAGGCGGCCACGCAAGUCGGAUGUGAAAUCCCUCGGCUCAACCGAGGAACUGCAUCCGAAACUGCGAGGCUCGAGUCCUGGAGAGGGUAGUGGAAUUCCCAGUGUAGCGGUGAAAUGCGUAGAUACUGGGAGGAACACCGGUGGCGAAGGCGGCUACCUGGACAGGUACUGACGCUGAGGCGCGAAAGCCAGGGGAGCAAACAGG